ACAUGGGGCCCGAGCUCGGAGGCGGCCGGGCGGCGCGGAGUCCUCCUGGAUCGUGGCAAUGGGCAGACACAGAGCAGAAAGUGGCGGACUUGGGCGGCCACAGGUAACUUUCUCGCAAGGAGCUGAAUUCUUUCACUAAAGGGUACAAGCCCGAGGGACGAGCUGCGCGAUGAUUGGCUGGGGAGCUCCCUCAGGUGAGCUGCCAUUGGCAGAGGCGCGCUCAGGCAGUUGGCCUUUCAGUCAUGAGGGAGGAUCUCUCAGAGUGACCUACAGCUCCUUCUGUCUCCUGCCUGGAUGUCAGAUGUUAGAGACGCACUAAAGGCUUGCUACUUAGAGUGCAGCAGCAGACCAGUUUGCUGUUGGAAUAACCUGGUAGCUGGCUAGAAGUACAGAAUCUCAGGCUGCACCUCAGACCUCCUGAAUCAAACUUGCAGUUUCACAAGAUUUGUAUGGACAUUAGAGUUUGAGAAACACUUGUCUAAGGCUUGGAGAUACAGCCAUGAGUGGAAGCUGUAGCUUCUGGGGAUUCAGGGCAAAGAAUGACAUGAAUUUUUGUAGGUAAAUUGUGACCAAUGGACCAAGUGUAUCGUUGUAUCAGAGAUUACUCUUCAAAAAUCAGCCGUGAUUAUCAAUGAAUGAAAUUAAUAUGGCGAAGUGUUGAUGGGAAACUUUAGAAUGAGCUAUGAGUUGGUCACCACCUAAACCCGUUGAUCAAUCUUAACAUCACCAGACCUGAUGGGCCUCCUGAAGGACCAACAUGGCCAAGCCCAUGGCAUUACCUUUGAGGUGUUCUUGUCUGAAAAGUAAGAUGAAUUGAAUCAAGCCUCUAGAGCUAAUGCCUACAGGAAAUAAGGGAGAUAAGAAAACAAGUUGAAUGGCACUCCAAAGAGCCAAGGGAAAACAAUCUCCAAUGUUGGGAAGCCUACAGGCAGCAGAGUUAGUUACUGCAACAAGUCAGUGGCAUGGGGGAAAAUAUGUGAAGGUUGGAGAGGGGAAGAACCUACAUUAAAAUGGAUUUAAAAGGCAAAGAACUAAAUGUAAUCUGUGGACCUGGUUUGGAUCUUGAUUUAGACAAUUAACAACCACCUGGUGCUUGGCUCACUGGUUGCUCGUCCCAGCACUAAGGGCCAAGAAUAAAAGGACAUCAAUUUACCUUUCUCAAUCUUACUCCCCAAUAUUCCCCUUCACUGAUUCUGUGCACCAGUUGAACUGCUCUGCUCUGCACAUUAAAUAUUGCAUUUUUCAGCUGUUUUUGUUUGUUUGUUUGUUUGUUUUGAGACAGAGUCUUUCUUUGUCACCCAGGCUGGAGUGCAGUGGAACCAUCUCAGCUCCCUGUAACCUCCACCUUUCAGGUUCAAGAAGUUCUUGUGCCUCAGCCUCCUGAGUAGCUGAGAUUACAAACGUGCACCACCACACCCAGUAUUUUUAGUAGAGAUGGGUUUCACCAUGUUGGCCAAGCUGGUCUCAAACUCCUGGCCUCAUGUAAUUUGCCCACCUCGGCCUCCAAAAGUGCCGGGAUUACAGGCGUGAGCCUCCACGCCCCACCAAAAGUAACAAUUUUAAGAGUUCUGUAUGUAUUUGUAACUAAGUAAGCAUUUUAUUUCUUUUUAACUGUAUUUAUUUAUUUAUUUAUUUUGAAACAGAGUCCACUCUUGUUGCCCAGGCUGCAGUGCAAUGGCGUGAUCUCGGCUCACUGCAACCUCCACCUUCUGGUUUCAAGCAAUUCUCCUGCCUUAGCCUCCCGAGUAACUGGGAUUACAGGCGUCCAUCACCACGCACCACUCAUUUUUUUUUUGUAUUUUUAGUAGAGACGGGGUUUCACCAUAUUGGCCAGGCUGGUCUCAAACUCCUGACCUCAUGAUCCACGUGCCUCGGCCUCCCAAAGUGCUGGGAUUAUAGGCGUGAGCCACUGUGCUCCGCCUAAGUAAGCAUUUUUAAAAUGAAACAAUGGUAUGUUUGUUGUCUGUUGCUGUGUAACAAACUAUCCCAAAAUUUAGCAGCUUAAAACACAAACACUGAACAUACCACAUAGUUUCUAAGAGUCAGCAAUCCAGGAGCAGCUCAGCCAGGGUUCAAGGUCUCUCAUGAACUUAUGGUCAAGCUACCAGCAGGGGCUGUGGUCAUCUGAAGGUCAGAGGAUCGCAUGGUUGUUCCACAGACUGUUGGGCACGCUUUAAUUAUAGGCCUUGUGAAGCUCUCCACAUCGAUGUCUGAAUAUCCUCACGACAUACAAAAGCUGGUUUCCCCUAAAGCAAGUGACAGAGAGAAAGAGAGAGACAGAAACAGAAGUCACAGCAUCUUUCAUAACCUGAUUUUGGAAGUGAAAAACUAUUCUUUCUGCUGUUUCCUAUUGUUCAUAUAGACCAAUCUUGGUGCAGUGUAAGAAAAAAAUGUACGAGAGACACAGAAUCUUCAGGGGCUGUCUUAAAGACUGCCUACCCAAUAUGGGUAGUUUCCAAAGCUUAAAAAAAAAACUUGUUUUAAAUACACCUUAUUCAAACAAGAUGCUUAUAAAAAUAAAAUAGGUGUGAGGAUAUUGUGUAAUAUGUAGCUAAGUAUGCAUCCUGUUAGAACGUCAAAUCAGUCUUAACAGGAGAGCUUAAAGUGUUUCAUAGGUCUUUUAUUUUGGAUUUUUUUUCCUUUUUUUAAUCUUUUCCUUUUAUUUUUAUUAGUGCAUGCUACUUCGAACAAGAUAUUUGGUAUGCUUUAAUGAUUAUAUGUUUCCAUAAUAAAUGCAAUCCUUUCUUGUU